UGGGGAAUUUUGGACAAUGGGCGAAACGCUGAUCCAGCAAUGCCGCGUGUGUGAAGAAGGCCUUCGGGUUGUAAAGCACUUUUGUCCGGAAAGAAAUCCUUGGCUCUAAUACAGUCGGGGGAUGACGGUACCGGAAGAAUAAGCACCGGCUAACUACGUGCCAGCAGCCGCGGUAAUACGUAGGGUGCAAGCGUUAAUCGGAAUUACUGGGCGUAAAGCGUGCGCAGGCGGUUUGCUAAGACCGAUGUGAAAUCCCCGGGCUCAACCUGGGAACUGCAUUGGUGACUGGCAGGCUAGAGUAUGGCAGAGGGGGGUAGAAUUCCACGUGUAGCAGUGAAAUGCGUAGAGAUGUGGAGGAAUACCGAUGGCGAAGGCAGCCCCCUGGGCCAAUACUGACGCUCAUGCACGAAAGCGUGGGGAGCAAACAGGAUUAGAUACCCUGGUAGUCCACGCCCUAAACGAUGUCAACUAGUUGUUGGGGAUUCAUUUCCUUAGUAACGUAGCUAACGCGUGAAGUUGACCGCCUGGGGAGUACGGUCGCAAGAUUAAAACUCAAAGGAAUUGACGGGGUCAUAGCUGUUUCCU
rnacentral:rRNA from 1 species